CUGGAAAACAAAUGUGGCCCAUCGAGGUCAACAACUGUUUUAUACAGCCUGCUCUUUUCCUUAGACAAAACCAACUUGAGCUGUGCUCUGUUCACAGAGGUUUAAUUCUUUAAACAAGAAUCAAAGCCCUAUCUUCAGGAUGGCAGAAGGGUGACUCUCACCUGCAUGUUCCCACAGGCUAACCCCGGUUCCAGUGGACAAACUGACACCAAGCUGCUGGAAACCAUAUAUGGUCACCAUCAUAAUGAGGACACUUGGAGCGGUAGAAGCAUUCUUGUCUCAGUCCUCAGUUUAAACGCAAGAAUACUGGCUUCAGCCCCAAAACACCGCUGCAAGCUCGACUGCCACAAAGAAGGAUCGAUUCGGCUGCCCGGUAUCCGAGGAACACACCAGACCAGGGAGAAGGCACUGAAUAAAUCAGGGGGAUUUUUCCUAAAGACACCAUCCAUCUUUCCUGGGGAGAACCAUCACAGGUACUCCUAGACAGUGAAUAUAUCCUGCUGUAACUGGCAAACGCUAGAGCUUCAUCACCAUACGCAUGUGCUUUGUGUCUGCUGUAACAUCCCUGAGACCUUUCGACAAACGCCAACUUUACGUACAAAACCUAGCUGACGCUAGUUCACCUUCCAUCUGGCAACAGCCAGUAUCACUGUCAUUGAUGAAAGAAGAAAGAUGUACAGACCAGUAACUGUUUAAAAUUUCUUACAAGAGGAAGAAGCUUAAACCUGCCUCCCUCCCCCAUUCUUGGUGGAAGACUGCCAACAGGAUUUUUUUAAUAUAAUUUUUUUAAUAUAAUUUUUUUUUCCCUCUCUGCACCUUUUUUCAUCAAACCAUGAAAAUUUCAAGUAGUAGCCAAAGUUUGUAUUCUGUGUUUUUUGAUUUAAGACAUUUUUUUCAGAAAAGUUUUAAAAAGGAAAUCUGUAAUUGAGCUUAAUUACCCUAACAUGGACAUCUCCAGCAUAAUUUUACUUCAUUCACGUUACAGCAGGGAAUAAAAGAAUGUAGUGAGUCUAUCUGUAGAGUGGAAGCAGGUUUCUUGGCAGGGAGAUGCACAGUAUAAAUGAGAAUUAUGCCAAUUUAAAAUUCACACUCCAGCUAAAUUGUAUAGCCAAGCACAUACAACUUUGUGUGCCAGCAUUCUUAAAUAAAACUGGCCAGAAAAGUUUCCAGUGUAAUAGAACUUACUUGUUUUAAACCUGUCAAUAGAUACGUAAAAGGUACUUGCAACAGUUUACUUAAAUCAGUUUUUAAAUUGAUUCAACAGACUGGUUGAAUGUCUCUGUGUAAACAAAUAGUUAUGGUGAGGCAUUGUAGUAAUGAAAUGUAGUCAUAUUUCAAAAAAGAUUUUUUACUGCAAAGUGGCUCCAGAGGAUUUUCUGUGUGGAUCUUUUUCUGUCUCGUAAUUUAUUUCUAUACAAAUGCUGGGAAAGGGAGGAGACAACUGGAUAAGCUAGCUUUGGGAAAAGAGAAGCAGCAUUAGAGCUUCCCAUGCAACGAAGCACAGAAGCUCCACUGCUGCUAGAAACGAAAAAAGAAACAGAACCAUCCAUCUGGGACCCACAAAGCUUUGCUGCCAGGGGCAUUUCUGGAGAGGGUAAUGACCCCUCCUUUUAAAGCACAGCUGUGCUGCCACUCUCCCAUGUACCUGCAAAAUUCACCUGCUUUAGCACUAGCGAGGCAAGUCUGAAGUUUUGUUUUGCUCAGAUGACAGCCAGGCUACUUGCCAGUCAAUACACCGUGUAUGAGGCUGUCAUUAAGAUUUUUUGUAUUUCACAGUCAAGCUUGAUAUCGCUUGCUUUCUUCUGCUGGGAGAUGAAGCAGGAACCAUAUUACAGGCAAUACAGAUGGCAGCACAAAACUUAAGAAAUCUCACCUAAUGCCAGUGAUAUUACAGGUUUUGGACAGACAGAGAGAGGGCACCCUUCUAUUCCUAAAUACAGGUUAACAAAUUGCACAGCUCUAGCUUACAGCUAAGGCUUCUGUUACUGAUACGGCCCACCCCUCUCUAGGCUUGAAACUACACAUAAAAU